GAUGAACGCUGGCGGCGUGCUUAACACAUGCAAGUCGAACGGCGAACACGGAGCUUGCUCUGUGGGAUCAGUGGCGAACGGGUGAGUAACACGUGAGCAACCUGCCCCUGACUCUGGGAUAAGCGCUGGAAACGGCGUCUAAUACUGGAUACGAGUAGCGGCCGCAUGGUCAGUUACUGGAAAGAUUUUUUGGUUGGGGAUGGGCUCGCGGCCUAUCAGCUUGUUGGUGAGGUAAUGGCUCACCAAGGCGUCGACGGGUAGCCGGCCUGAGAGGGUGACCGGCCACACUGGGACUGAGACACGGCCCAGACUCCUACGGGAGGCAGCAGUGAGGAAUUUUCCACAAUGGACGAAAGUCUGAUGGAGCAACGCCGCGUGCAGGAAGACGGCUUUCGGGUUGUAAACUGCUUUUAUUUGGGAAGAUUAUGACGGUACCAAAUGAAUAAGGAUCGGCUAACUACGUGCCAGCCGCCGCCGUAA
rnacentral:rRNA from 1 species